CCCAACUUCUUAUAGUCUAAGCAUAGAAAACAUAUCUCUCAUCUGACAGACUUGACAAGGGCUCUCAGAGCAGGCAGGUUUUCAAGAGGAAAUGGCUGGUUUCCUCUCAGACCUGGUUCAAUACCGGAAGUUAUUGCUAAUGAUUAUGGUGCUAGGAAUUGGUGGAACCCACCUAUCUGGUUUUCAGAUGUCUGUGAUCAAUUACACUUCUCCGUACAUUAAGAAGUUUAUCAACGAAACUUGGAUGGAGCGAUACGGUUCUGUGCUGCAUCAGGAGACACUCACAUUAUUGUGGUCCUUCAUCGUGUCUAUAUACUGUGUAGGUGGAAUGAUAGGGUGUCUGUGUAGUGGGUACCUGACUGCAAAAUAUGGAAAGAAGAAAUGUCUGCUGGUCAAUGACGUGGUCCUACUAGUAGCUAUGCUGCAUACUGGCUUCAGUAGGAGAGCCAAAUCCUUUGAGAUGAUCCUGAUUGGGCGCUUCCUAGAGGGCAUCGGUGCUGGAAUAAAUAUGAAUGCCCAUGUUCAGUAUGCUGGAGAGAUCUCACCGAAGAAGUUGCGUGGAUUUGUAAAUGUGACCUCCUCUGUGUUUCUUGCACUAGGAAAAGCUGUAGCAAGAAUUCUUGGAUUACGAGAUCUCUUAGGAACUGAAGACAUGUGGAAUGUGCUAUUGUCCUUCUCUGGGUUGUUGGCAUUGAUUCAACUGCUUUUUUUGCCAUUCUUUCCUGAGUCCCCUCCCUAUCUCUUGCUGCAAAAAGGAGACAAGGCUGGUUGUUUGAAAGCCAUGAAGCAACUCUGGGGAGAAGGGAAUUAUCAUACAGAGUUUGAUGAUAUGAUGAAGGAAAAGGCUGUAACAAAAGGCAUCAAAAUCAUGAACGUCCUAGAGGUGCUGAAAGAACCAUCUGUAUAUCCGCAGCUGAGUACCAUGCUCCUUCUUUUACUGAGUCUACAGUUCUGUGGCCUGAGUGCAAUCACCUUUUACACCUCGGAAAUUUUUCAGACAGCCAACCUGCAAGAAAGCAUAAUUCCAUAUGUAUCUCUAGGAGUAGCAAUCUCCGAGCUUGUCUCUGUCAUCUUCUGUAGCUCCAUUAUCGAUCGUUUUGGACGUCGGAUACUCCUGUGGGGUGGUUAUUUGCUGAUGGCACUGAUACUGGUGUUGCUUGAAACAAGCCUUCUACUGGGCGAUCAAUUCCUCUGGAUGCGUUACUGCAGUGUUGUUCUCAUCUUUUUAUUCCUUAUUGCCUAUGGAAUAGGACCAGCUGGAGCCGUCGCAUCCGUCAUGAAUGAAAUCUUCACGCUCUCAACAAGGUCCUCCGCUUUUGUAAUUGGUGGAAUCGUCAUUUGGCUAGGCCUCACUUUCACUGGAAUGAUUUUCCCUUUUGCUGUCAUGCUUCUUGGUCCUUUUUGCUUCCUCAUCUUUAUUGGUGUCCUGAUCAUUUCAGCGGUUCUCAUCUACCUGUUUCUCCCAGAAACAAAAGGGAAGUCAACUUCUGAAAUCACAGAAGAAUUCAAAACACGUCAAUUUAAGAAGAAACGUCAUCAGACUGUGGAGAAGAACACUACUGAAGAAAAGACAUUCUGCACCAAGCUCUGAUAGGCCACCAUAAGCAACUUCCACUGACAAAAAGCCCUGUCUCAAAAUUGAACUGAAAGCUAAACCUUAACAUGGACUUUUCUCAGUAAAAUGUAAUCCAAUAAGUAAUGCACAGAUAGCUUGUCAUUAAUUCAAGCAGUCCUAUCUUAUAUUCAUCUUUGCUUUUCAUGGUGAGAGACCAUGUCUCCUUCCUAGAACAGCUCUGUAGCAGGAAGACGUUAUUAACUCCAGGCACUUCUCAGGACUAGCACAUGAAAAUAAUUUUCAGGCAUAACACAUCAAUUUUAUUCCAAGUCUUUCUCCUUUGCUAUCAUUUUAAAGAAGCAGGAUUUGUCUCUGUGUUUCUGAUUUUGUAAGAAAGCUCUGCUCAGGAUUAAGAGCAGGAUGAAGAGAGGAUGAAACAUAAACACAGAUCUUGCAAACAAUUUUCAUGUAAUCUCUUGAUGAUAUCACACUGUAAAGGACAUAGUAUUGAUCAUGAACACACCACAUAAACAAAUACCAAGUAGAAUAACAAAGAUAACUCAAUUUUGUUCUGUUUUCUCGAGCUGACAUCAAGUAACUGUAUGUCCUGAUUGUCCCUAUGACUGUCAGGGAUUAGCCCUGAUCCCUGGGCAAUUGGUACAGAAGAACUCUCACCUGCAUCCUCUGGAGCAAACUGACUGCACCCUCCAUGCAGUUGUAGCAAAAUCUGGAGCAAGUUUCUGUAGUGUAAGCAAUGCUCUCAGCCUUAUUCUGGGUACCUCGUGGAUGGCACAAGGGUUAACAAACAUAAAACAUACAGGCAGUGCUGAGAGCUAGAGGACCAGAGCCCUGGAGUGAGACAGGGAGUAAGACACUUUGAGACAGUACUGAGAGAGCAGACACUUUGAAAAUUUAGUCCAUUUUAUAAAUAAUUAACUGCUCCAAGAAAGAAAAGCAGAAGCUGUGACAGCUGUACUGGCCUAGGACACAUUGCACUCUACUAGUGCGCAUCAGCACUGCUGUGCUCCACACCAUCCCUUUACUGCCGCUAUUCAGGAGUUGUUAAUCCUGCUGACCACUGCAGCAUCCAAUCACUUCCCUCCCCAAACCCUUCUACCUUCGUAUAGGACAAUCAAUUACUUUUCCAUUUUCUGUAACAGUUCCAAAUGGUGUAUCAUGCCUCCUGUUUAGUAGGACCACAAGUCCUAUCUUUCUGCAGUUUAACCAUUCACAUUGAUUAUCAUUUUGCUGGAGCACUGAAUCAGUUUUGAGUUUCAUGGAGUUUUCUAUUUAAAAAAUUCAAAUAAUGUGCUUGCUACUUAAUAGACACAGAAUAAGCUCUGAUAUUAAAGCACCAGUUGUGUGUUCCAGCAACUGAAACCUGUGUUAGAUUUUAUAUUUGAUCUGGUUUCACUCCCUGUAUCAAAACAGGGAGCACUCAUGCUACAAAAUGUUCCCAUUCAUAGGGACGUCUCCUGUUGAGUCAUUGAAAUACUUAAUCCAUCUGCUUUAAGUGCUGUCCAAUUGCUGCAAAAAACAUCAGUCAACAGAAAUCAUAUGAAGUAAACAUUAACCUCAGCCUCAGAGUCAGAUGAUUACUUAAGCAGAAUGUGCAGAAAAGGCAUGACAGAAAGCACUUCCUCAGUCUAACAGAGUUCUGUCUGCCUGGGAUCAGCCACCCUUUUGAUAAAAGAUGGAAAGAUUCCUUUCAGAAGUGAUUCUGUACCAGUGGUUGUUUGUGAUGCUCUUUGUGUUGGGAAUUGGUGGAUCCCUCACGACUGGCUUUCAAAGCUCUACGAUCAGCUACUCAGCCAUGAUCUUCUUUUCAGAAGUCCAAAGCCUUCUGUACAUACAGAAGAGAGAAUUCUCUGUUGUUAUCUUGGUCUAUCUGUGCGCUUCUGAGGUGCCGUACACAGCUGGGUUUGAAGAAGGCCUUAUUCUAACUUUACCACUGAGCAGUUUGGCAGGAAGACACUGCUGUGCAAGGGCUAUGCUUUCAUGGCCUUGGCACUGCCUGUCCUCACAGUUACUCUCUCCCUUCAGGAAAACCUCAUCUCCUUCUGCUUCCUUAUCUUUACUGGGAUCCUCAUCAGCUCAGGCAUCUUCACCUACCUCUUCCUUCCAGAGACAAAGGGGAACUUGAUUAUGGAAAUAACUGAAGAACUUGGUGCUUUACAUUUUAGGAAGAGAUCUCGUUCCUUUACAGGAAAUACUUCUCCUGAGAAACAUGUUACCUACAUGAGCUUCUAGCUGGUCAGCAGAAGGACCAUACAUUAAGUAAGGUCAUAAAGGACCUUGAUGCUUGCAGACUGCAAAACAAAACAAAGGCAACUUAUUUAUUUUCCAUUAUUGGAAAAGAUAUGAAUAUUCCUUCAUAGACACAAGAGGAAUUUUCAUGAAUGAAAGUCACUCUCAUAUCACCUUAAAAACCUGAGAGCAGUCAGUAAUCAAUAAGUCAUCAUAAAAUAAACUACAUGCUAUGCUAAACUUAGAGAUUUCACUUAGGAAAUCUUUUUGCUUAAAUGUCUUCUUUAGCUCUAGUCUCUGUGAUUUUGCUAUUCAGAAUUUCAUUUUGAGUUUUGGAUUAUAGCAAUACAGUGUCAAACAAGCUGGCUUAGAACCAAGCCCAGCCUUGAGCUCUUUAGAGAAAUUUAUACGAGCCAAGUCAUGAAAGUGAGUUUCAGUGUUUGUCCAUUUCACAGCACCGUUUCUUACAGCUCUGUAUAGAACAAAUUAAAAGUUCUCCUUAACUCUGUAAUAAUUCCUUAAACAUGAAACCAUGCACAACUUCCAUAGCAUAACAGAGCUUUUUCUAGAAUAUAGGUGAAAUUUAUAAUAGAAAUGGUCAAUUCUAUUUAUGAAUCCUUGUGACAUAGUGUCCCCCACACACACUUUGAUACAAUUUGAGAAAAAUUAUGUAAUAAAAAGGAAACAACAUUUUAAAACAAUAAAUAGUCAAUAGCUAUGCAACUUGCAUUUUUGUACAAUCAAAAUGUUAACAAUUGUUGGUGUUCAAGAGAAAAUACUUAAAAAAAUGCCAAAUCAUUCUAAGUGCUAUUGCAAGCCAGAAUAAACAGUAUUUGCUAUGCAGUUAUAUAGGCAAGAGUUGGAAUUACACAAGUAUCCAAGGUUUUAUUAUUAACUUGCAUUUUUUUGUCAUUUCUUUAGACUCACAGUAUUUGCAAUAAACCCCUCUGUAAAUAAUUCUGUGUUUUGUGAACUGAAAGUACAAGUCCCAAGGGUGAGCUUGGGCAUUUACUGAGGGCUUCAGUACAACCUCAUUGCCCCAUCUGCCCCCACCUUGAGGUGGGGGAAAGUCCCUUGGCAUGAGUAAGAGCAAGCAAAAGUCUUUGAAAGUAGGAAUUACACGAGAGUCCCAGGCAAACCUCUUUCUUCCAAGUGCUGUCUCUAGCAGAAGCCAUGUAGAGGUACAGUUCAGGCUUCUCUUCACAAGAGAGGAGCCUCUGGAAACCAAAGUGACUUUUCAAUGGCUGCAACACUGAUUUUGGAGUUGUUCUGUGUCUGUAACACUCAAAGCUGAAACCUGAGAGAUUAAGAUCCCAGUUGUCCCAUCCUAACUCAUUAGGGAAUAUUUACCAACUUUGGUUACUCUCACAAGCAAGUGGGUCUUACGGGUAGUGGCUGUUUCAAGCAGAGCCUUCAGGACCAGGUGCUCUAUUCCAAAAGCCAGGGCACAGUAUCUCCUACUGCCUUUUUACCACACUUGGUUGACAGACAUCCACAUAACCACCAGACAAGAAAUACCCUUCCUCAGUACAAUCUAACUGAUAGAUAAAACCAGAACAGCUGAAUUAGACUUUGAAAUUUGCUACUUCUACUUCAAACCCAAGAAAGGGCUGCGUGCUUCAGAAUUUGCCUGUUUUUCAUCUAAUAAACAAUAUUUACUAUACCAAUAAAUCUGAAACAGAAGACCACAUACUUUACUCAUUAAUAAAUAACAGUAUCUAAAUAUCAUACCAGCUGCUUUUUUGCUUUGUGCAGAUUACAGCAGAGAUACUCCUCAGUCUGUAUCAUAGAAGUAAAGUAUUUUACUGUUCCUAGAAAACUGUUUAGAUUUUUUUGCCUGAACUGCUCUCCUUUCCCUUUCCAAAGCCCUCACUA